AUUGAACGCUGGCGGCAGGCCUAACACAUGCAAGUCGAGCGGUAACACAAGGGAGCUUGCUCCUGAGGUGACGAGCGGCGGACGGGUGAGUAAUGCCUAGGUAUCUGCCCAGUCGAGGGGAUAACAGUUGGAAACGACUGCUAAUACCGCAUACGCCCUACGGGGGAAAGGAGGGGACCUUCGGGCCUCUCGCGUCAAGAUAUGCCUAGGUGGGAUUAGCUAGUUGGUGAGGUAAUGGCUCACCAAGGCGACGAUCCCUAGCUGGUCUGAGAGGAUGAUCAGCCACACUGGAACUGAGACACGGUCCAG
rnacentral:rRNA from 1 species